rnacentral:tmRNA from 1 species
GGUGUUGAAGUGGCUCGCGCGAUCUCCUAUAUCUCGAUUGUUCUCUUUCGGGGGGACUAUGGCAAUAAACGCGCGCGUAAUAAGCGGAUCGGACCCGGGGGCGGUACCCGGCGGCUCCACCAACACAUCCUGUCAUUUGCAGGGGCUUGGGGCCGAAACAGGAUAGACGGACGUCUAAAGGUGUUAGCUUUUGCUCGGCAGGAUGCCACCGUUAUCGGCUCGAAUUGUACAGUUGCAAAUGACAACAGUGCUCCGGUUGCAGUCGCUGCGUAAGCAGUGCCGAAUACCGAAACUUAAGUCCUAGGGCCUAGCAGCCUUAGGCGGGGUUCGCAGGCACCUGGCAACAGAAGCCUGCACU